GACAGAGGAGGCAAGCGUUGUCCGGAAUUACUGGGCGUAAAGCGCACGCAGGCGGUGCGGGACGUGCGGGGUGAAAUCUUCCGGCUUACCUGGAAGGCUGCCUUGCACACGACCGCACUCGAGCUACGAAGAGGUCGAUGGAAUUGCCGGUGUAGUGGUGAAAUGCGUAGAGAUCGGCAGGAACACCCAGGGAGAAAUCAGUCGACUGGUCGUAUGCUGACGCUCAGGUGCGAAAGCGUGGGGAGCGAAC
rnacentral:rRNA from 1 species